AGCAGCCGCGGUAAUUCCAGCUCCAAUAGCGUAUAUUAAAGUUGUUGCAGUUAAAAAGCUCGUAGUUGAAUUUCGGGAUCAAUACGUCGGUCGUGCUUCGGUACGUACUGGCGUAAUUGAUUUCUCCCUUCUGACGAACCAUGAUGUCAUUAACUUGGUGUCAUGGGAAAUCAGGACUGUUACUUUGAAAAAUUAGAGUGUUUAAAGCAGGCUUUAGCUUGAAUACAUUAGCAUGGAAUAAUGAAAUAGGACGUUUGAUCCUAUUUUGUUGGUUUCUAGGAUUGACGUAAUGAUUAAUAGGGAUAGUUGGGGGCAUUAGUAUUCAAUUGUCAGAGGUGAAAUUCUUGGAUUUAUUGAAGACUAACUACUGCGAAAGCAUUUGCCAAGGAUGUUUUCAUUAAUCAAGAACGAAAGUUAGGGGAUCGAAGACGAUCAGAUACCGUCGUAGUC
rnacentral:rRNA from 1 species